UACGAAGGGGGCUAGCGUUGUUCGGAAUUACUGGGCGUAAAGCGCGUGUAGGCGGGUCCUUAAGUCAGGGGUGAAAUGCCAAGGCUCAACCUUGGAACUGCCUUUGAUACUGGGGAUCUUGAGUCCGGGAGAGGUGAGUGGAACUGCGAGUGUAGAGGUGAAAUUCGUAGAUAUUCGCAAGAACACCAGUGGCGAAGGCGGCUCUCUGGGCCUGUACUGACGCUGAGGAGCGAAAGCGUGGGGAGCGAACAGG
rnacentral:rRNA from 1 species